rnacentral:rRNA from 1 species
AUGGCCGAGCUCGCGACGGGCGCCGUGAGCUCGCUGCUGGUCGUCAUCCGUAGUGAGGCGCUGCUGCUGCGCGGCGUCCGGGACGACGUGCAGUUCAUCAAGGAGGAGAUGGAGAGCAUGAAGAGCUUUCUGGCGCACCUGGCCAGGUGGGCGCCCCCCGGCGGCGAGCACGACGAGCAGGUGCGCACCUGGAUGAACCAGGUGCGGCUGCUCGCCCAGGACUGCAACAACUCCAUCGGCCUCUACCUCUACAGGGGGAACCCUGAUAUCCACCGCGCUAGAGGAGGGCUGCGAGGCUACCUCUGGUGGGCGACCUGGUUCUUCCACAAGUUGGCCGCACAGCACCGCGCGGCCGAGGAGCUGCGCUUGCUCAAGGAGCGGGCACGCGACGUCGGCGAGCGGCGGUUGAGGUAUGGCGUCGAGGUCCCGGACAAGUCAGGGAAGGGGCAAUUGGCUCCGACAGCAUCAUCAUCGACGUGGGCUGCUGCAGCAGGUGGCUAUGCGGCCGGGGACAAAGAAGAAGAAGAAGAAGAAGACGGUGACGGUCAACUCGUGGUGGGAAUGGCAACUGGUGGCCAUUCUGGUCCAAGAGCCUUCACUAAGCCUCACACUCUGGACGACUACGUCAAGGCAAAGCUAUGGGAGUGGAUGAAUGGAGCUCCUGGAAAUGCCGGCGAAAGUUUGUCCAUGGUCGUAGCGGCAGCCUACACGUAUCAGGACCUCCUCGCUCUUGUACAAGAAAUCUGGGUUUUGAGUCAAAACCCAGAGGCCUCCCCCUACCAUCGCAUUGUGGUGGUUGACAUCCCAGCCGUGCACCACGAUUUUAUGCCGCUACGGCCCAUGGAGAGUGCUCUUCUUGAUAUCAAGGUGACUAUUGAAGAGAUGGAGAUUGAUGAAAAGCUUGACAAAAUCAAAAGUGGUAUUCAUGGUCAACUAGCAAAGGGCGACGGACAACCCAAGGGUGACAAGCUGCUGGGUAAUUUUGACCAAUUGGACCUAAACGAACUACUUCAGUUGGUGCUCCAGACAGCGUCUCAACAAGAUCAAAACGGGAAGAAUAAAGACAUGCAUAUAUUACCAGCGUGGGACAAAAAGAACAUCAUCGUCAAGAAGCUUAAGGAGCAUAUGGAAGCAAAGGAAAAGGACAAGAAGCUUGAAGAGGAAGAAGCUGCCAAGCAUAUGGGGGUGGAAGAAGGAGAAGAAGCCAUGGCCAAGCAUAUGGAAGAGGGGGGAGGAGAAGUAACCAUACAUAUGGAGGAGGAAGGAGGAGCCAAGCAAAUGGAGGAAGGGGGAGGAGAAGUAACCAUGCAUAGGGAGGAGGAAGGAGGAGCCAAGCAUAUGGGGGAAGGAGAAAAAGCCGCGGGAGCUGCAGCAAGGCAAACACGCAAACAUAUGGAGGAGGGGGAAGGUGGAGAAGUAACAUGCAAACAUAUGGAGGAGGGGGAAGGAGAAAUAGCCAUACAUAUGGAGGAUGGGGGAGGAAAACUCCAUAAGGCACAAUAUGCACACAUCCUGGGGAAGCUGUUCCCCAAGAGCAGCAGCAAGCCUGUGCAGGCUCAAGACAGAUCCUUGGAUAAGCAAGCUACAAAGACCACAACGGAUACAUUGGGUGAGGAUCAAGUAAGAAAACUCAUCCACGAUGCAAAGGAAGACAUCUUACGGGAGCUGCAGCAAAGCAAAUAUGACAAGAGUGAAGGGGAUCCUGGUGCUCCGAAUCAAAACCCAGAAUCUGUUUCUGAAAAAAUAUUUGCCUCUUUCAUGGAUCAGAUGAUGGACAAAAUGAAGCAUGAGUUCAAAGAGCAGCUCGAGAUCAAAGGGCUCGUGAACAAGAUUAAAAAGAACUUGAAUCCUCAUCCGUACCGGGCUAAGAAGUGUGAAUGCCCCCUGUUUAUCCUCAAAGUUGAUGAGCUGAUGGAUGUUUCCUCAUGUGAGGAUAUCAGAAAUGCUUUGAGCCUGUUAAACUGCAGCGCCGAUUUGAUGAUUGUCACCGGCGCAAAGGACAUCCAGCGGGCUAAAGAAUAUUGCUAUCCACCGCUGGAACCUAUAGACUAUUCUCUUGCUGGCCUCUACCAUGAUACAGUGCUCGAGCUUACUAGUCAGCAGAAGAAUGAAGACAGCUAUGACCCCCAAAUUUUUCAUGAUAUCUUGUACGAGUGUGAGCCACAUGAAUUCUGCAUGAAGGUGUUCACUCAUGCUCUGCAUGCUAACCCCAAGAGGAGCGGUGAGGAGUUACACAAGCUGCACAGCACCCUGCAGGCUUUACCAACAAAAUCAUUCAACAGCAUCACUAAGGUGAUGUUCAAGUUCUCUUACAAUGACCUGCCUAAAGAAUACAAGUCCUGCUUGCUGUACCUAGCUAUCUUCUCUCCCGGACAAAAGAUCAGGCGGUCAACCUUGAUUGCACGCUGGGUUGCAGAAGGGCUGACAUCCAAGGAAGAUUGGCCCAGUUCUGUGCGUCAGGCCAACCGAUGUUUUGACACACUUGUUGGCCGGUGCCUUGUUGAUGCAGCUAAUAUUGAUGCCAUGGGAAAAGUAAAGAGCUGCGUCGUGCUAGAUCUAGAAGGUUGUCGGUGCUUUCUUGAGAAGAACCAUCGGUACCUCAAGGAAAUCUGCAGCAAGAUGUUACUGCUCAAGUAUCUGAGCCUAAGGAGAACAGAUAUUACCCAGCUACCUAGUGAAAUCAACAACCUCCGUGAACUAGAGGUACUGGAUAUCCGAGAAACUAAUGUGCCUCCACAUGCAACAGCACAUAUCCUGCUAUUGAAGCUGAAGCGUCUGCUUGCUGGCCACAUUGAUCCAAGUAAUUUUGAAUCUAAUCCCCAGAUUCCUCAUAGGAUCGACAAAAUGGUAAACAUGGAGGCACUACACAAUGUCAAGGCCAAGCAGAGUCAUGAUUUAAAAGAUAUUGGAAGGCUAUGGCAGCUGAGGAAGCUAGGUGUGGUUAUCGAUGAUACUGAUAAUCACCUAAGGAAUUUGCUUAAGGCGAUCAGUGACCUACAUGAGUGUCUCUGUUCUCUGUCAAUCACUAUUCCUGUAGCCGGACCACAUGAGGCAGAGUUACCAGAAGUCAAUGUAUCUUACCUAAAAAAACAUCCCAAGAUUCUUGAGUCUCUAAGCAUCAAGGGAACCACACAGAAGGGCCGUCUUCUUCCAAUGUUCAUAAAAGGCGAUAACAACAAACUUGCCAAGAUAACUCUAUGUCACACUCUGCUGAGCCAAGAUGAUCUGGAAGUCCUUGCCAAGCUGCCCAAGUUACGGUGUGUCAGGCUCCAACAUAUUCUAUGCAUCGAGCACAAGCUGAACUUCAAGAAAGGUGAAUUCGGAUGCCUCAAGUACCUUCUUGUUGAGGACUCAGACUUGACUAAUAUCACUUUUGAGGAUGAGGCAGCCAGUGAGCUCGAGAAGAUGGUUUUGUCUAUCACCAGCAAAUGUUCUAUUUCAGGAGUUGACUGCCUUCUUAACUUGAAAGAGCUUGAGUUGAACAGCAGCUUCUGCGGUAGUUUGCUUGGCGAUGCCAAACAGAUAUCCAAGCUAACUCUUCGUGGUACAUUGCUAGAGCAAGAUGCUCUUCAAACACUGGCCAAGAAACCAAAUAUACGCUCUCUGGUGCUCCUGGAUAAGUCUUUUCGUCGAAGUCAAAACAAGAUUACAUUGAAAAAAGAUGAGUUCUUGUGGCUCAACCUUCUUGUUGUUGACUGCUCGGCCAUCACAAAGAUAGUCUUCACCAGAGGAUCUGCUCCUAGGCUCAAGAAGAUUGUCUGGUCAUCUUCCACAUCUCUCUCCGGCAUCAACAAACUUCCCAGAUUGAAGGAGCUCAAGUUCAACUUCAACGGUGUCGGUGACCAAGUCCCUGUUGAGGUGAGGGAGGCCAUUAAAAACCAUAAAAACAAGCCUAGUCUUAAACUUAAUGGGCCAGAAACUCAAGACAAAGCAAAAGGAGAUGAACAAGAGGAUGACGAUGGUGCUGCAAAAUCCUCUUUCUGCUGGAAGAAACAGGUCUGA